rnacentral:rRNA from 1 species
UACGUAGGUGGCAAGCGUUGUCCGGAUUUACUGGGCGUAAAGAGCGCGCAGGCGGUUGAUUAAGUCGAAUGUGAAAGCCCCCGGCUCAACUGGGGAGGGUCAUUCGAUACUGAUCGACUUGAAGGCAGGAGAGAGAAGUGGAAUUCCCGGUGUAGUGGUGAAAUGCGUAGAUAUCAGGAGGAACACCAGUGGCGAAGGCGACUUCUUGGCCUGUUCUUGACGCUGAGGCGCGAAAGCUGGGGGAGCAAACGGG